AGGCGAGGCCAAAACCAGCGGGAGGGGCGGGGCUUGUAAAGGACACGCGGCAGGAAGCGGUGGUGACGUCACCAAGCGGACCCAGGCCGCGUUGCUAUGUCAGGGGGAACAGGCAAUGACGUCAUAUGCACAGUCACCGCCCCCCCGCCCCCCCCCAGCACCAAUGACGACACCAGGCCGGUCAGGAAUCUGCAGUUUAUUGAAGGUCCCUAUUGAUAGGGGGGUCCUGUCACGAUACUGGGCAUUCCCAGCGAUACAGCGCCCCCUCAGGGUCCUGGGUCCUUGGCACAGGGGCCCUGUCGUGAUCCAGGAGCACUGUCACGACAGGGGGUUCCUGUCUUCAUCCUCCUCUUCAGAGCGAUCCAGGGUCCUGUCAGGAUACAAAGCCCCUGCAGAACGCAAAUAAAAAGAAAAUUGGGGGCGGGAACGGCCGCGGAAGAAUCCGGCGGAAGGAUCCACGGAAAGGAUUCGGUGUGAAGUGACCUCCGGACAUGUGGCCGGCGGAGGGAUCCGCGCGCGGAGGGAUCUGAGAGUGAUGCGACAGUGGGCGGAUCCACACGGAGACCCGCCCCCUCACCAGGCCCCUCCCUUGGCUUUGCCGCAGUCGCCGCGGGGGCGGCGCCGGGUGCGGGAGUGCGGCGUCAUCGCUUCGUGCACUCCGCAUUGGGCGGGGGAAGCGCCGAGUCACCUCUGCCGCGUCCGGAGAGGCCGAACGGUUAAAAAAAAAUUACCCUUUUCUCCUUGGUUUUACCUCAGAAAAGCCCGAGUUCCUUCAGGAAAAUAUCAUUUGCCUCAGAAAUGGCCGACUUCCGUCAGAAAAUGAUCGGUUUCCCGAGAAAAUGUCCGAUUUUCCUCAGAACGUUUGAUUUUACCUCAUCAGUGUCUCGCUUCCCUCUUGAGACGUCUGGUUGUCUCAAAAACGUUUGAUUUCCCUCAAGAAGUGUCCGUUUUGCCUCAGAAAUGUCUUAUUUACUUCGAAAGUGUCUACUUCCCUCACAAGUAUCUGAUUUGUAUCAAAAAUGCUUCAUUUCCCUCAGAAAGUUCCCGAUUUGCCUCAGAAAUGUCAAAUUUUACCUCAGAAACGUCAAGUUUUACCUCAGAAAUGUCCUAUUUUCCUCAGAAAAAUAUAAUUUUUAUUCAGCCAUAACCCGCUCCCCCCCCCCAAAAUGGCGCCUUCCCACGGGAACAGCUCCGUGAGGCGGGGCGGGGGGCGAUCUGCAUCCUUCACGAUUUCCCUCAGAUAACAUUUAUUCCAAAGCAUUUCUUUAUCCUAUCAAAUAUUUAUAUUUUCUUCAUUUUUUAGUUUCUAAAUGUUGGAUUUCA